CAGUAGCCGCGGGAAUACGUAGGUGGCAAGCGUUGUCCGGAAUUAUUGGGCGUAAAGGGCUCGCAGGCGGUUUCUUAAGUCUGAUGUGAAAGCCCCCGGCUCAACCGGGGAGGGUCAUUGGAAACUGGGAAACUUGAGUGCAGAAGAGGAGAGUGGAAUUCCACGUGUAGCGGUGAAAUGCGUAGAGAUGUGGAGGAACACCAGUGGCGAAGGCGACUCUCUGGUCUGUAGCUGACGCUGAGGAGCGAAAGCGUGGGGAGCGAACAGAAUUAGAUACCCCGGUAGUCCCUGUCUCUUAUAA
rnacentral:rRNA from 1 species